CUCCAUUCACUAAACCGUAGACCCACCCGAUGUCUCUGUGUCUGGGAGAUAAGUGAUUUUGCUUAAACUAAUUAUCUCUUGGACACACGAGGUACAAUGCAUAAAACACCCCAAAACAUAUUAUAAACAGGUCAGACCCCCCACAUAUGUUCUAUCCCCGGAUAGCCCUGCAUAGAUCUGAGCGCUAUUUGGACUUGGGCUCUUAGAUCUAUGCAGUGUAGCCGGAUCGCUACCAGGGGAAAGUUUUGACCAACCGCACACGUGAACUAAGCCCAGAAUCGGUCGGUCAAUUGUUGGAAGCUCCUUGUGGGUAAACAAGUGGGGCUCCUGUGGGAGCGAUUAGUCACCUCAGCCCUAGGGGCCACUCUCCAGGCUGGUCGGGAAAGGGACAUAAAUACACUGGGUAAAGGUGACUGGGAACAGGAGGGGCAAGUGGGCGAAAAUAGUUGUAACGGCACCCACAGGCAUAAAAGGGUUAAACCGCUGAUCUUCCCUUCCAGAGACACAGGCACAGCUACUGCAGAACACCAAUCCGCCGAUAGGAAUAGGAAAAACCAUGCGAAUAGGUUUACACUCCUAGCAGUCGAACUGGAACAGCAUACAAUAAAUCCCCCCAAGAACGAGACAAAGCUCCGUGUUGAGGGUCAAGCAGUGAACAGCCAGAGCUGUGGGUUUAUU